UGGAAUUACAAAAUGAAACACAGUAUCACAACAGCAGCAUCUCUUCGAAAAUAUUUUAAUCAACUGGUAGUUCAGGGUUUUUUUUAAAAAUAACUUUCUUAAACUUUGGCAUUAUGAUGUCAGUUAAAGCAGGAAAUAGGUUUUCAGAAAGCUGUGAAUCAACAGUUUGCUGUGAUCAUAAAGAAUGAUCAGAAUUAACAUGCUUAUAUUAAUAAACGCACCUCUAAAAUCAGAAAUGUUAUGGCACAGGACAAUUCCAAAUAUAAGAACAAAUGAGUAACGUCAAAGACACACUACCAAGUUAUACUCCAAUGGAUGUCUUAGGAGGACUUAAAAUAAGCAUCAACAAUUCUUAAUUAAAAUGUAAAGUGAAAAUUAAAUCAUCUUUGAGUUUUGUGACACCUACUGCUUUCGAGCCUACUCCCUUUCAGGGGAGUCACUGCAAAUGCUGCAUAGAGAGAGACAACAGUAAGGGUGUUGGUUUAAUUAGCAAGCAGAGCUUUUACUUCACAUUAAUCAAUCAAAAGUGUUUUCAACUAUAAAGUGUCACAGCAGCACUGAAGUGUGUGAAGUUGGGCACUCUGCUGGCAAAAGGAGCUGGCACUAGAGGGCUCCCUGUGCCCAUGGCUUUGCUCUCACACUGUCAGUGGAAGUGAUAUAGCCUCAUUUAGGCUUCUCAAUUUGUGUAAUUCACUGUAUGCCACAGUACCCACAUAAAAACCUUCUGUUUUGCCAACACAGGUGACUAAGGAGCUGCCUGAGGAAAAGUGGGACACUUCACAGCAGGCCUUUGUAGGAAAAAAUCACUUAAACUGAAUAGAUCUACACAAAUGGAAGUGUCAGCCCUGGAAUCACAACCUACAAGACAUUUUUGCUUUCUUGGCUUGUUCUACUAUUUUGUGUACAGAGCAGCACUGGAAAAGUGAUGCAUCAUCUGGACCGUAAAGUAGAUCUUGUAUUUGAACCCAACUGUACAUGCUGGCCUAAAUAUAUACAAAUGGAAGUUAAUAAAUCACAGAUGGCACAAUGAAGAUGAAAACUGUGACUUCAAUCUUCCAGAUGCACUCUCUAACAUCUAUGGUGAACUUUCUUGGCAGAUGUUUAUGUAAAAUGUUAUGUUACCAAAGAAUACAACACACAGUGAACAGAGAUUGCUGUCCUCCAACAGCCUCUUAAUCAUGUCUGUAAGAGAUUCACAUGGUGGUGUCAAGAGAUUUUACAUCAGGAGCCUUGGAGCUGGACUUGUGGACUAUUUCUGAACCUGUUGGAGACUUUGACCUUCUGCAGGUAAGUUCUUGUAGACACAGACCAGGUCAAAAAUGCCUUGCUCAUUUCUCCAAUUAUUUGACAGUUUAUAGCUUUCCUAUAACAUUCCUGUGUUUUCUGUGAAUGCUCAGGACUUGAACUGUGGAGGAUUACACAGAACUUGGUCUACUGCAUCUUUCAGAAGUGAGCAGGGAGGAAGCUGGAUGACAGCUCUCCCCCUCCUCAGGUCUGGGACAUCAGUCGUGGCCCCUGACAGCAGAUCCAUGUGUUUGUGUACAAAAGCUGCUUAUUUGGUUCCCAAGUUUUUUGCUCACUUAUUAUCCCAAAUUCCACUCUGAAGAAGCACUCCAGGGGAGAGGAAGAAAAAUACAGGUAGGCACCUUAAGCGAUUUCUUACAUU